AUUUCUUUAUAACUCUCUCAUUUUCUUCAUUUCAUACUAUCUCUAGAUUCUCUCACUAGAAAUUCUCUCUAAACUCUCUAUUUAGCUAUGUUAUCUUCCUCUCGUGCAGCGUCAGCCACAGAAAAUCCACGUCAAGACAACGAGACUUACAUCUUCACGACUACUGAUAUAGAGGUUUGCAUUUUGAUACCUAACCUAUAGAGACGUGUAUGAUGAUUGAAGGUAUUUCUCCUCCCAACAGAUAAUAGAUCUUAUGAGUGAUGAUCCUUCUUGAGAUCGUGUGGAUAUCCCAUUUCUAUGGUUGCACUAAUUGGUUACCGAAGCCUUUUCAUAUCUUUUCAUAAAGAUGUAUACUGUAUAGUAGCUCACUCGGAUGAUAAUCUUGUUGAUUAUUGAUUGCACUUUCUAGCAUUCUAGCAGGAAUAAUGUUAACCUAACAUUCUAAGGAGUCUCAUCGACUUGGAUGUAUUGGCAGAGUAUGACUUAGAGGGAUAUCAUGUUAUGUGUCAUGUAUGAGGACAUGAGUCAGUAUUCUCGUGGUAUGCAUUCAUUUUUUCCAUAUUUUGAUUA